rnacentral:rRNA from 1 species
AGUGGGGAAUUUUGGACAUGGGGGAAACCCUGAUCNGCCUCCCGCGUGUAUGAUGAAGGCCUUCGGGUUGUAAAGUACUUUUGGCAGAGAAGAAAAGGUAUCCCCUAAUACGGGAUACUGCUGACGGUAUCUGCAGAAUAAGCACCGGCUAACUACGUGCCAGCAGCCGCGGUAAUACGUAGGGUGCAAGCGUUAAUCGGAAUUACUGGGCGUAAAGCGUGUGUAGGCGGUUCGGAAAGAAAGAUGUGAAAUCCCAGGGCUCAACCUUGGAACUGCAUUUUUAACUGCCGAGCUAGAGUAUGUCAGAGGGGGGUAGAAUUCCACGUGUAGCAGUGAAAUGCGUAGAUAUGUGGAGGAAUACCGAUGGCGAAGGCAGCCCCCUGGGAUAAUACUGACGCUCAGACACGAAAGCGUGGGGAGCAAACAGGAUUAGAUACCCUGGUAGUCCACGCCCUAAACGAUGUCAACUAGCUGUUGGGGCCGUUAGGCCUUAGUAGCGCAGCUAACGCGUGAAGUUGACCGCCUGGGGAGUACGGUCGCAAGAUUAAAACUCAAAGGAAUUGACGGGGACCCGCACAAGCGGUGGAUGAUGUGGAUUAAUUCGAUGCAACGCGAAAAACCUUACCUACCCUUGACAUGUCUGGAAAGCCGAAGAGAUUUGGCCGUGCUCGCAAGAGAACCGGAACACAGGUG